rnacentral:lncRNA from 1 species
GACCCCAAUCCCAUGACACCCUUCCUGAAAAGUUGAAAGUUAGAGCUGAAAAAGUCAAUACAUAUAAAUGUAUAUUACUGACUCUGUAAAAGAUGUGUAUUUCAUUCAGCAUGUUCAGAAUAUAAAAUCGUCUACUCUCUGGCAUUGAACUGUACUUGUAUCACCAUCAUCUACUGUUGGGUUUCCCAACUUCAGCCCUGUUGAUAUUUGGGGAGAGAGCACUACUCUGUGCAUUUUGGAUGUUCAGCAGCAACCAGACAGUAAAAAUGUAGGAGAUCCAGCUAAAACUGAAUUUCAAAUAAACAACGAAUAUUUUUUUUAAGGAUAAAUAUGCUCUGUACAAUAUUUGGACAUUCUAAUACUAAAUUUGUUUAUUUUCUUUUUUACGGCUGCACCCGCAGCAUAUAGAAGUUCCCAGGCUAGGGGUCAAAUCUUAGCAGUAGCUGAUGCCUACAUCACAGCCUAUCUGAGCAACAUCUGUGACCUACCUAUGCUUCAGCUUAUGGCAAUGUGGGAUCCUUAACCCACUGAGAGAGGCCAGGCAUUGAACCUGAAUCCUCAUGGAGACUACAUCAGGUCCUUAAUCCACUGAGCCACAAUGGGAACUUCAAUUUAUCCUUUGUUGAUCUAAAAUCUAAUGUAACUAGGUGAUCUGCAUUUUAUCUGUUGACUCUACACUAGGUACCAGUAACACAACCCACCUUCACCCCCAGUUGCAAUAAACAAAAACAUUUCCAAAUAUUGCCAAAUGUCCCUUGGGAUGCAAAAUCACCUUCGGUUGUGAACACUUAAUCUACAUAAUAAAAUAAAUAAAUAAAUUAAAACCCUCAUAAAAUGGGAAAGACUGAGAAAAAUAUGUGGAAAGUUUUAAAUACAUGCAAGCUGGCGCUUGUUGCUAUUUAUCUGCAAAGCUAACAGAUCCUAGGGUCACAAGACACAUGGAUACUAGCAUGGCUCUUGGAGGACUAGUGUACAUCACUGUUGGUGGGGGACCAGUAUCCUGGGAAUAAUCUUGCCCCACCUGCCCCUUUCAAGCCUUGGAGCCUCAGGGCUGUGCAGCAGGACUAGGCAUGAUCUCCCAUCCCCCACUCACCCUCUAAUUUAUGUUAAUUAUUUUCUUCCCUCCCCCUCCCCCUUAGUCCUCAGGCUUUGCUUAGGAGCAAGUGGCUCUCUCGUUCAAGCACCUAAGUUUGAAGGCACCAGGAGACAAUUGUCUGGCAGAGCUGGUCAUGAGGUCCUCCUAUUAAGACCCAAUUUUAGCUUUACUGGUAGGAAAAGCUAAACAGAAGAGGGGCUGAAUGGGUCUAUGCCCGUCCCUCUCUCUCUCUCUUUCUGACUUUUCUUUCCUGCACCCCCAGUCUUCCUGUCCCUGGUAAAGACUUGGCAUUUGGAAUAUCCAUGCCUCACCCUUGCUUUCUAUACUGAUAACUAGGAACUCUUCCCUGGGGCCCCCUAACCCACCAGCUGCCUCUGCACUAUAUCAAAUUUGGCUCUGAAAAGAUUUCUCCAAAUAUAAGCCUGGUGCUCACACACAGAUAACAAUUGGGUGCACGUAUUAUAUGUCUUUAUAAACAAAGCUGUGUAUAUUUAUAGACCCAUAUCAAUGACAGAUCUGUAUGGAGAGAUAAUGGGGUUUUACAGAGAAAAAAAAAAAGGUGAGUCUUUUUGAAGCCUCUGACACAAAAUAAAAUAAAAUACCAAAUAAUACUCAGCAACAAAUCUCUUAAUAAGGGAGGGCUGUUAUCCAUCCCAGGACUGCUGGAGUUUAAAUGGAAGAUUUGUUUGGGAGGGCUCAGACCCUCACAGUAGGGAAGCAAGAUUUCGGUUCAGUUCUAGUCAUCUGCUGAAGGAUGAGUAUUUCAUUAUUUGCUCUGAGCUCUCUUGGUUGCUUGGAGUCAUUUACACCAUCUUCAAAGAGUUUGUAUUAACCAGCUACACAUGGCCUCAUAGCACAGUCCAAAAACAGAGAUGACAUUUAGUAAAAGCUUUAAGAAUGAAUGAAUGAAUUCAGUGAAAAAAAUAAAUUUGCUCCUGGAAGUCAGAGACGAAGACAGACAUGCCUAGGUAGAAAAAGAGACAGAACACAAAGAACAAGCAGUAAGAAUAAUGCCAGAGGGAAUAAUAGGUUCCAGGAUAAUGGCCCCAAUAAUUGGCCCAACUGGAGGUGGGUAAACUUCAGCUCAGGCUCUUUAUCCAGCAUGGGAGUUGGAACCAAUUUAGUUCUUAGGAUGGGUUGUUUUAUGCAUACAAUCAGGCCGACUAAAGGGAGAGGGACAGAGAUACAAAGAGGACAGACAGCAAGUGAAGGCACUGCAUCCAUAACCCACAUAUUCCAACUUCAACAUCUUCCUGAGUCAUCUGUCUCCUGCCUGACCUUUACAUGGAGAAGAAUGUUCUGUUCCUUUGAGGGCUUUUCAGUCUUUCAGAUGCCUUUAUCUUGGGGAUAUCCUCUUGAAUCUUGUCUUUAUAUAUAUCUAUAUAUAAAAAAGUAUUAUCAACUACAGUCACCAUGUUUUACAUAGAUCCUCAGACUUCGUUCAUCUUACAGCUGAAUGUUAGUACCCUAUUCUUUUACACUGACAGAAUUUACAUACAAUAAAAUGUGCAUAUUUUAAUUAUACAGUGCUGCGAGUUUUGGCAACUGUGUUCACAGAAAGCAGCUAUGACCCCAGAAAAGUCCCAUAGGGCCAGCGGGGUCCUGGAGCCAGCUCCUAUUCAGAUAAUGCCACACAUCUCAUCCCCACAUCCUGUGGUUACCUGAAAGAGGGCCAUGGGGGGAAAUCAGCAAACCCUGCAUUCAGAGAUCCCACACCCCAGAGAUCCAGUUCAGCAGCACACUGUUGCUCAUGCCCCUUCCCAGUCAAUCCCACAUGCCCAGAGGGGCAGAUCACCAGGGGUUUACUUUUGCUUGUUCUUGAACUUCAUGCAAAUGGAAUUGCAUUUUGUAUCUUGCGUCUUUCUAUCAACAUGAUAUCUGCGACAGUGAUCAGCAUUGUGAUUUUCUAGUAAUUUGUUCCCUUUCUGUUGCUAAGUAUGAUUCUGAUGUACAAAUAAAUCAUUUUAU